ensembl:lncRNA
GUCAGCCCCACCCUUCUGCUUUGAUCACUGUGUGUGUGUGUGUGUGUGUGUGUGUGUGUGUGUGUUUAAUCCACCAUCAAAACUAUGGUGCGCUUCAUUUGAUCAACACAUGGUGCAUGCAAGAGGGAUUUGGAACUGCCAUCACAUAGGCGCGAAAAAGCGCACUGCCACCAUACAGCCACUGGGUGGUGCUAAAAAGUAGCAAAACGGAGCAGCAGUGAGAGGCCUUUGUUCCCUGUGAGCUGGAAGCGUUGUGUUGUGAUCCCUCACAUCUGCUUUCACUGAACCCCCAGUGGCACCCGUCUGGGCAGGCCAGAGCAGGAAGUCUUGUGAUCUUCCAGCAUUCUUUAAGCAUUCCUGGGAAUGGUCUCUCCCACAGACUCCUUUUCUUCCUCUUUGGGAACUUCUAUUGUAUGUGUACAGACAACCCGAUGUAUUCGCACUUUAAUUCCGAGGUAAUGACAUUCUCACAGGCAUGGCCACGCCUGCUCCCAGCCAGAGAGUUUUUAUAGAGGCUUUGGUGUGUGUGUGUGUGUGUGUGUGUGUGUGUGUGUGUGUGUGUGUGUUAUAGAGGCUUUGGCAUCUGCCUGUGCUAUUUGAAGCCCUGGUAACCGGUUUGUGUGAUUGGUGUUGUUGGUGUUAGUGAAACUGUGUGGUGUGUGUGAGUGUGUGUGUGUGUGUGUGUGUGUGUGUGUGUGUGUUUGGUGUGUUUGUCCUGAAUGUUGUGUUUCAUGUGUUAUGCAGACAACAAACUAUUUUAAAAUGUCAAGUUAAAAACAAGUAAGAAUGAUUUAGGAGUAAUUAAGGAUGCCGGAUCACCCAGUUGACUGCACCCUGGUUUUGUGUAUAUGCAUGUGUGUGUUUCUAUGAGUGUGUGAGUGUGUGUGUCACAUUCGGUUUCUGUUCUGUGUUUUGGGUUGGAACCGCUUUGUGUUAUUUUGAUUUGUUCUAAUGUGCUGCCACAUUAUUAUAUUACAUUACUAUAUUACUUCACUGAGCGGAAUUUCUGUUUUGGUAUCUUGUGUGUUGCUUGCAUUUUCUUUUCUUAAUCUUUAACCAAUUUUAAUCUUUUAAUCUUUAAUUGAGAGCAUGUUCUUUCGAUUUGAAAGCAUUGUUUAUUAACGUUCAGAUUUAGUCAUUUUUCCGUCAGAGAGAGAGAGAGUUCUGAUGUGUUCUGAUGUGUUCUGAUGUGUUCUAGAAGGAGAGUGGGCCCGUGUUCUGAUGUGUUCUGAUGUGUUCUGAUGUGUUCUAGAAGGAGAGUUGGCCCGUGUUCUGAUGUGUUCUGAUGUGAGAGUUGGCCCGUGUUCUGAUGUGUUCUGAUGUGUACUAGAGGGAGAGUGGGCCCGUGUUCUGAUGUGUACUGAUGUGUUCUGAUGUGUUCUGAUGGGUUCUAGAGGGAGAGUGGGCCCGUGUUCUGAUGUGUUCUGAUGUGUAUUGAUGUGUUCUGAUGUGUACUGAUGUGUUCUGAUGUGUUCUGAUGGGUUCUAGAGGGAGAGUGGGCCCGUGUUCUGAUGUGUUCUGAUGUGUACUGAUGUGUUCUGAUGGGUUCUGAUGGGUUCUAGAGGGAGAGUGGGCCCGUGUUCUGAUGUGUACUGAUGUGUUCUGAUGUGUUCUAGAGGGAGAGUGGGCCCGUGUUCUGAUGUGUUCUGAUGUGUUCUGAUGGGUUCUAGAGGGAGAGUGGGCCCGUGUUCUGAUGUGUACUGAUGUGUUCUGAUGUGUACUGAUGUGUUCUGAUGGUUUCUGUUUUGGUAUCUUGUGUGUUGCUUGCAUUUUCUUUUCUUAAUCUUUAACCAAUUUUAAUCUUUUAAUCUUUAAUUGAGAGCAUGUUCUUUCGAUUUGAAAGCAUUGUUUACACAUGUGUUCUGAUGUGUUCUAGAGGGAGAGUGGGCCCGUGUUCUGAUGUGUUCUGAUGUGUUCUAGAGGGAGAGUGGGCCCGUGUUCUGAUGUGUACUGAUGUGUACUAGAGGGAGAGUGGGCCCG